AUCUGAUGAGAGUGGCGCACGGGUGAGUAACGCGUAUGCAACCUGCCUAUAACUGGAGAAUAGCCCCCGGAAACGGGGAUUAAUGUUCCAUAAUGUUCAGAGAUCGCAUGGUUUUUGGACUAAAGCUCCGGCGGUUAUAGAUGGGCAUGCGUGCCAUUAGCUAGUUGGUGAGGUAACGGCUCACCAAGGCUACGAUGGUUAGGGGGUCUUAAAGGGUGAUCCCCCACACUGGUACUGAGACACGGACCAGACUCCUACGGGAGGCAGCAGUGAGGAAUAUUGGUCAAUGGGCGCAAGCCUGAACCAGCCAAGCCGCGUGAAGGAUGACGGCCCUAUGGGUUGUAAACUUCUUUUGUAUGGGAAGAACUCCCCGACGUGUCGGGGGCUGACUGUACUAUACGAAUAAGCAUCGGCUAACUCCGUGCCAGCAGCCGCGGUAAUACGGAGGAUGCAAGCGUUAUCCGGAUUCAUUAGGUAUAAAGGGUGCGUAGGCGGAUUAAUAAGUCAGUGGUGAAAUACUACAGCUCAACUGUAGAGCUGCCAUUGAUACUGUUAGUCUUGAGUACAAUUGAGGUAGGCGGAAUGUGUGGUGUAGCGGUGAAAUGCUUAGAUAUCACACAGAACACCGAUUGCGAAGGCAGCUUACUAAACUGUAACUGACGCUGAUGCACGAAAGCAUGGGGAGCAAACAGGAUUAGAUACCCUGGUAGUCCAUGCUGUAAACGAUGAUCACUCGCUGUAUGUCCAUUAGGAUAUGUGGCUGAGCUAACGCAUUAAGUGAUCCACCUGGGGAGUACGGCGGCAACGCUGAAACUCAAAGGAAUUGACGGGGGCCCGCACAAGCGGAGGAACAUGUGGUUUAAUUCGAUGAUACGCGAGGAACCCUACCC
rnacentral:rRNA from 1 species